rnacentral:tRNA from 1 species
GUCCUUUUAGCUUAAUGGAUAAAGCGUCUGUCUCCUAAACAGAAGAUUACGGGUUCGAAUCUCGUUUAGGAUG